rnacentral:rRNA from 1 species
GAUGAACGCUGGCGGCGUGCCUAAUACAUGCAAGUCGAGCGAAGAGGGGACGGGUGAGUAACACGUGGAUAACCUCCUAUAAGGCUGGGGUAACUUCGGGAAAACGGAGCUAAACCGGAUACUGUGCGAUGAUUCCGCGCUGCAUUAGCUAGUUGGUAAGGUAACGGCUUACCAAGGCAACGAUGCAUAGCCGACCUGAGAGGGUGAUCGGCCACACUGGAACUGAGACACGGUCCAGACUCCUACGGGAGGCAGCAGUAGGGAAUCUUCCGCAAUGGGCGAAAGCCUGACGCAGCAACGCCGCGUGAGUGAUGAAGGUCUUCGGAUCGUAAAACUCUGUUAUUAGGGAAGCGGUACCUAAUCAGAAAGCCCCGGCUAACUACGUGCCAGCAGCCGCGGUAAUUC